AAAGAAUUAGUUAAAGUAUAACAUAAAUAUGUCAAAUUUAAAUUAUUAUAAAAAUAUUAUUCUUUU
rnacentral:tRNA from 1 species